rnacentral:siRNA from 1 species
UGGAGUCACAUUCAGGUAUGC